AGUAACACGUAUCCAACCUGCCGUCUACUCUUGGACAGCCUUCUGAAAGGAAGAUUAAUACAAGAUGGCAUCAUGAGUCCGCAUGUUCACAUGAUUAAAGGUAUUCCGGUAGACGAUGGGGAUGCGUUCCAUUAGAUAGUAGGCGGGGUAACGGCCCACCUAGUCUUUGAUGGAUAGGGGUUCUGAGAGGAAGGUCCCCCACAUUGGAACUGAGACACGGUCCAA
rnacentral:rRNA from 1 species